GGGGCUGUAGCUUAGUGGUAGAGCACUUGCCUAGCAUGUGUGAGGCUCUGGGUUCGAUCCUCAGCACCCCA
rnacentral:tRNA from 1 species